AUGGAAGAACAAUGCGAUGUUAUACAACGUUAAUCCAAAAAUAUGAAAUGCUAAAGCGAGAGUUCGUUUGUUUUCCCACUGCUGGCACGGUGUGUGAUGCUAGGUGAACACAACACGUGGUCGAAGCCCAGUGAAAACACGCUGCGGCGCCAGCACGCUGCCUUCCGGCCGCCGCCGCCGCCGCCGCCCUGCAGUUCAGCUGUCCGGCGCCAAGAGCCGGAGGAGAGGGCGUCCUGAGCUCAGCCGCGGGAGCCUUAGGCGGUCCGGUGCUGCGUUUGCUGCACACAGGAAAGAUGGGCGCACCGUGAUUAGCUACGGCUGGAAAAAAUCGAAUCAUUAAUAAAUGAUUUUAUUACAA